GCUGUUUCCCACACUACAGGCCAGCACCGUGGGCUCUCAGUUUAUAGGGAAAUGGAAAUAAGAGGGAAGGACAAAAGUCCACUGGGAAGCAGACUGGACAGAAAGGAACUCUGAGCAGCUAAACUCUGACUAAUCCCAGGGUAUACCUGCAUUUUCUCUUCACCAGAUUUUUCCUACCAGGAAGAGCAUGUGCUGACCAACAGACAUGAAUUUCAGCCUGGUAGUUAUAACAUUCACAGUAUACCCACAUCACUAAGCUGGGAGGCACAUUUUGAGACCCAGAAUCCUGACACCUCCAUGCCUUCAAAAGGACAAACUGCGGCCUGGACCAGCUGGUGAAACAAUUCUGAAUCCUGCCCACAGCCUUCGGUGGUUUUGGAUGAAAGGCCAGCGCCUUGGGAGCCCUGCGUUUGAUUUCAGGUUUUAAGGCCGGCACUGGUGGAGCAAUGAAUGGUGAAAGCUCUCCCCUUAAAGGAGCACAAUU
rnacentral:antisense_RNA from 1 species